AAAGAAAGCUGGAGGCAUGCCUAACACAUGCAAGUCGAACGAAGCCUUCGGGCUUAGUGGCGCACGGGUGCGUAACGCGUGGGAAUCUGCCCCUUGCUUCGGAAUAACAGUUAGAAAUGACUGCUAAUACCGGAUGAAGUCUUCGGACCAAAGAUUUAUCGGCAAGGGAUGAGCCCGCGUAGGAUUAGGUAGUUGGUUGGGUAAAGGCCUACCAAGCCGACGAUCCUUAGCUGGUCUGAGAGGAUGAUCAGCCACACUGGGACUGAGACACGGCCCAGACUCCUACGGGAGGCAGCAGUGGGGAAUAUUGGACAAUGGACGCAAGUCUGAUCCAGCAAUGCCGCGUGAGUGAUGAAGGCCUUAGGGUUGUAAAGCUCUUUUAACAGGGAUGAUAAUGACAGUACCUGGAGAAUAAGCUCCGGCUAACUCCGUG
rnacentral:rRNA from 1 species